UGCAGCAAGUGACCCCAAACUUUUGAACGGUAUGUUCCUAUUGAACAAGUAUAAGUUGCUUUAAUGAAAUGAUCUCAAGCUUUGGCAUGAGAUGCUGACCAAUCGAUUGUAAAAGUAUGCAUAGCCUUUAUUCAAGAAUCAUGCCAAUACACUUUGGAUCCCUUUAACCCUCUAAAAGGCAUAUUUGCAUUAAAAAAGGUGGUUAAAUAAAUGCGUAGCAGUGUUUACUUACAGGCACAGUUCUGACGCUCGACAAUCACUCAAGUCACACUCUCAUUUACCUUUUGUAGACUGACGCCUGGGCGUCUUGUAAAGAGGCAGGCGUAAAAACGGAAUUGAAAUGUAGUGUAUGGGAUCAAAAAUAGAUUACUGAAACAAAUCGGUAGAACAUUACACAUACCCUUGCUAUGUGUCUUAUAUGCUAGGAUAUAGCCUAAUUCAUCUUAUAUGUUUGCAAGAUGUUUUCUUGUUAGAAUGUUCAACAUGUAUCAGCUGUGUCUUUGUUGUAUAGCACAACAACUCUGCUCACGCUAUUAUUUCGUCACGAUGUUGGGUUAAGAACUGAUCAUUCGAAGUUCCAAAAAGAACACACGGACUAGACCUUCUUAUGGUUAAAGAUUCACUAGGCAUUGCACUGGAGACGGCAAUAUGAUGUUCCCAUGUAAUAUCUGCUAACACACAAAUACAUAACACAAAACAUAAGCAGUCCUCCAGAUACUUCUGUUCCGAUACCGGUAAGAUGGUAGUUGGUUUCCAUUCACUCUCUGUUGAUUUACUAAAAAAAAUGACUGAAUAAACAAGCAAACAAUCUUAAAAUGCAGAUGGUCAUGUCCUGUCUGUGGAAGUUGAGUACUCCACCUAGAACACGACAAACAAGCGGGAGUGUGCUGGACAACUUGCGAUGUGUUGGCCAUUCUGCCAUCCAGCAACAGAGCGACACGACAAGGAACGGGUCUGAGACAGAGAGCAGGCUGAAAAGGAAAACGCUUGAAGCCAAUGAAUCCGGUUGCCUUUC
rnacentral:lncRNA from 1 species